CAAGCUUCCAAGAAUCAUUUCUUAGUCACAGGAUGACACAGGGAGGCCGGCUGUUGGUGAUCUUUUCUACAGGUUCUCCAUUGCUGGCUCUUCGGAUGGCUUCCAUGAGCUAGCGGACAGAGACAUGGGCGAGUGUCAUGCACAGGAGAGGAGGGUGUGUCUCGUCUCAGCCACCCUCCCGAGGUACAUUAAAUACUCACGUCUUUCUCAUAAGGAAACCCUCCAUUCUCCAGCUUGGAGAACACCAGCUGUCCAUUGAUCUCAAUCUCGAAGGCCCCUGGUAGGAAAUAAAUGCAAGAACGAACUAAGAACAACAGGCAGAAGUUCAGGGAGGUCCUUGGCACCACCUCGAGUCCAAGCAAGACUGUUCAUGGCCUCGGCAGACACCGAUCCUGAAGCCAUUCAGCCCCAAACCCCAAAGUCCUCACCCGUGCGUCUUUCCAAUACGCCAUUAAGAGUUCCUUCACUCCAAACCCACAGUAGGCAUUUUUGCUAUGUGUCAGACCCUACUAGGGGCUUUAUAUACAACAGCCAAUGUCAGCUCUAGAAUGUAGGGAGAGCUGGAGUUUUAUCACAUGGACUGACUCAGCAGGUGCUCUGCGGACCUCACCUGUCCCCCCGAGUCGCGACUCAAUCUCAAUGCCCGGAUACUCCUCCUUCACAGCGCUCGCCAGCUCCAGGGCUGCUUCCGGGUGUGACGCCACGCCAAAGUCACGUGGGGGGCGUGCCCGUGGGCGUGUCCGGACCUCGCUUUGCGUCG
ensembl:antisense Gm12352 predicted gene 12352